rnacentral:rRNA from 1 species
AAUGAACGCUGGCGGCAUGCCUAACACAUGCAAGUCGAACGAAGUCUUCGGACUUAGUGGCGCACGGGUGCGUAACGCGUGGGAAUCUGCCCUUGGGUACGGAAUAACUCAGAGAAAUUUGUGCUAAUACCGUAUAAUGUCUUCGGACCAAAGAUUUAUCGCCCAAGGAUGAGCCCGCGUAGGAUUAGGUAGUUGGUGAGGUAAAAGCUCACCAAGCCGACGAUCCUUAGCUGGUCUGAGAGGAUGAUCAGCCACACUGGGACUGAGACACGGCCCAGACUCCUACGGGAGGCAGCAGUGGGGAAUAUUGGACAAUGGGCGCAAGCCUGAUCCAGCAAUGCCGCGUGAGUGAUGAAGGCCUUAGGGUUGUAAAGCUCUUUUACCCGGGAUGAUAAUGACAGUACCGGGAGAAUAAGCUCCGGCUAACUUCGUGCCAGCAG